ACAAAUUGUAGAGGUGCGAAUUCAAUAAGUAUUUCUUCUGAGUGGAAAACGAUGAAGGGGAAGGAAAGGUGAAUUUGCCGAAAUCAAUUAAGCGUCAUCUUAAUUGGUUGGGGUCGUUGUCGAAAGAAACGACACUGUCGUAGUAAAUGCUACGGAGUGCUACUGUUAGG
rnacentral:ncRNA from 19 species